CGCGCCAUGCCCCCGUCUUCAGCCUCCUUCCGCCACGCCCGUGCCUCCACUACCAGUAAUGUGCCGCCCCCACCUCCCACCGCGGUCGCCGCCCGCAACUCCGACCGCGGCUGCCGCCACCCAUCUCCCGCCACGGCCGCCGCACCCAUCUCUCGCUGCGGCUGCCGCCCCAAACUCCCACCGCUGCUGCCUCCCCCAACUCCCGCCGCGGCUGCCGCACCCACAUCCUGCCGCGGCUGCCGCACCUAACUCCCGCCGCGGCUGCCGCACCUAACUCCCGCCGCGGCUGCCGCCCGCCACCGGUCCUCUCCUCCACGAGCCCCAGCGUGGAUCCCCUGCAGCGGCCAAAUCCCGGCGCGCUCAGCCGCAGCUCCUGAACCCCGCUUCCAUCAGCUCCACUCCACCGGAGCGGUCAGUCCGUAGGAGUUGUGGUAGCAGGUCCACUUCCUCUACUGGUCGACACCCGCGAGGCCGUCUAUACUCUUUGCCGAGCUUCUCUACCAUUAGUGGCCGCUCCGCCCACCGGCUAUCGGCCAGAGGUGAAUUCUUCUCAGCUAAGAGCAUGGACCCCUUUCAAGGAUGCAAAUUGGGAAGCUCUGGUGUUAUCACCAUCCAAAUUCUGUUCUUCAGAUAUGCAAGAUUCUUCAUUGUUUAUCGGUUGCUUAGGGCACAUGGUUACGUUGGUGAGACAUCUCUACUCCAGGGGUGGGAGGCACACGGCGGCCAGAGGUGGGAGGUGCGCGUCAGCCGAAGGUGGGAGGCGCGCGUCAACUGGAGGUGGGAGGCGCAUGACAGCCGGGGUGGGAGCCCCCCUGUGCAGCUGUGGAGUCCGUCCUGGCUGAGCUGCUCAGGCUGUUCAACUUUGCGUCUCCGGUCGCUCGGCCAACGCUUGGCGAGGAGCGACCCAGUCUCGCUCGUGUGUGGAGUUUGGAGCAUCUCCUACCACUGUGUUCUACUCUCCUCUAUUUUCAACUGAACGUGCUUCCAUUUAUGGAUAUCCCCUUGACUCCACAACAAGUUGAAUCCCACAAAUCCUACUGGUAAGUGCAAGAUUCAGUACUGUCCUUUUGAUUUUCUAUAAAAAAGGACAAUCCUUCUUGUUGCUUGACAUAGAGUACUGACAUCCAUCCACGGAACAAUCAAGCAACCAUGUAUGGAUGCCUUUAUCGACCCACCAAUGUGUCGCGGAUGUGAUCUUUGUGCACUUUUGAGUGUUGUAAAAAACUUAUAUGCUUCUGGUUGGUGCUCGCUGCCACUGGCGAAUUGUGCAAGUGCAAAAAGUUUUAUAUCGCAAGUUUAAAGAGGGUUUUAUGCAAGUUCAGAAGUCUAUUUUGAGCAUCUUUAGGUGUUUGUUGUAAUGCAGAAAAGAUAUUUUAAUGUUCCAAAACAAACCUAGUGAAAAAUUCAUGUUUAAAAUAGUUUGCCAAAUUGUCUCAGUGCACUGGACUACUAGCUUUCAUGUGUUUCAUGUUAAUUUGUAGCUACCUCUUGCUUGUUAAUUGCUAUAGCUUACAAUACAUAAUGAUUUUUUUCGUGUGUGAUCAGUACUUUAGGUGCUAAUCAAGGAAUAGGUAGGGUUAUUCAGAUUGAGGAUCUUAACUAAUCAUGUUAAUGGUUGGUCUUGCUCCCUGUGCUUUACAGCGACUACUCCAGAAAAAAGCCACUGGAAUGUGCUGCGCUCAGUACUCUCUUGACAAAUCGAGCAGUGCAGGUUCUCUAGUGUGCCGAAAUAUUGCCAGCAGCGAUGCCUGCAUCAUGGCCCAUUGAUGAGAUGCUGCUUUUCUGUAUGCAUAUUUGUCUAUUUAGUUUUGUGUACUAUUGUUUGUCCCAAUUGAUCCUUGUGUUAAUCCUUGUAUGUCGUGCACUUCUGAUCUCAUCAUGAAGUGAAAAAAGACAAGCGAGCUAAGUACUUGUUUGGAAAGUUUGCAAGAACACAUAAACCUAAAAGAAGUUCAUUGAAAAAGUUUGGUUUCAUUCAAAAAAUGUGAUUUUUGGUUGGAAAAUGAUGUUUUUUCUGCUCACAUAAAAUUGAUUAUGUGGCUGCUGCAUUGGAGUUACUCUGACCCAUGCAAAAUAAAUUACAGUAAGCAAAAAAGAAAAUCUAUUUACGUACGGAUGUAAACAAAUUUCUGGAGCACAAUAGACUCAUCGUGUAUCAGUUGACCAUUCAUUCAGUUACUUCAAGCUCGUCAGUUGCUUCAACGACGGGAGGACAGGGCGGCGACGUGUUCGAGGACUGCGACUGGCGGCAGAGAUUGGUUCAUGGACCGGCUCCCGCCGGCGUAGGAGAACGCUGGCCGGUGAUGGAUCUUGAGCACCGCCUCCGGUUCCCCGUGCUCAGGCGACCCUGGUUACCACCGGCACGCGUGUGUGGGCGGUCCUCCGAGGUAGCUCUCCUUUUGUGUUGUCCGCAGCCGCCCACGCAUGCUGCCCCGAUUUCUACCUCGCCUCUGACCUUGAUUGACUACUAUUGUUGGUAGGUGUUUCAUGAAUGCACCGAUGAAGCAUCAUGUGAACUGAAGGUUUUCUUGCCCACCAUCUAUUUAUGAAAUUCCUACAAGAACUAAUGAUGAGAUUGGUGUUCCAAACACACAAGCUAAAGCGGAUUUUCAUAUAGCUACAUCUAGUGAACUUCAGGUCACCUCUAAUAAAUACCUUUUUUGUGUUUCUUUUUUAAGUCAUUAUAUGCUCUCAAAAUGUUUAUGUUUAUGCCUCAAAACGAGAGAGAGAAAACUAGUACAUGUGUCUCACGCUUUGUUACAUAACAUUUUAAUUAUCUUUACCACAAAGCUUCAUCUAUCCAGAGAAGUUCAAAGUAAAGAUUAGUUCACACUUUAGGUUCUGCUCCUUUGGUCUAUUUGUUCAGUUCUGACUCCUUCAGUUUUGGUUGCAGAGAAAGUUCAAAUUUCAUGCUCCUUUAAUUUUUGUUAAGUCAGGGAGAGUCAGGUUUUGCUCGGGCAUCAUCUCGUAUCGUCCGUUUAGCAAAAGCCUCCAGAUAAGUUCACACUUGUGGUUUUGCUCAUUGGUUUAAUUCCUCAGUCCAAACUCCUUGGGUUUUUGUUCCAGAGAAGUUAAAGAAAACCUGUAGAAGUUUGUGGUAAGAUAUGUUUCACUUGAAGCAGGAACAUCAACUGCCACAUUGAUACUUACAAGAAUUCAGCCAUGUUUGCUUAUGUAUGGUACUGAACUGACCAUGUUAUUGAACUUGUGUUGUCGCUAAUUCUGAACUUGUGUUCACUCUUAUGUUUAUAGUGACCAUGGAUGCGCCCAACGAAGGACAACGAUAGGCAAAAAAAUACUAGUGCAUCUGCUUGCCUCCUCUUCAUACUCCAUACUGGAAAACAUCCUUCCCCCCUCUGUUUUCUUUGAAAGAGAACAAGUCCAGUGAAGGAGGAGGCGGCAAAACAUAUAGCUUAUCUAUCUAGUCGAGCUUACUGACUGAAUCAGUUAAAAUGAUUUGAUUUUUAGUUCAUCUUCUGGGUUAUAGACCAGUCACAUGUACUUGUGUCAGGUCGCCUGCAAAUUUGUUAUCGUUGUCUAUUCAUGUGUGUUCUUCUUGUCAGGUCCUUUGCAAGUUUGUUAUCAGUUCAUGUGUAUUGUGUCCUCUUUGUCAAUUCAUGUGUUUUCUUUUUUGUUU